AGUGAACGCUGGCGGUAGGCCUAACACAUGCAAGUCGAACGGCAGCACAGUAAGAGCUUGCUCUUACGGGUGGCGAGUGGCGGACGGGUGAGGAAUACAUCGGAAUCUACUUUUUCGUGGGGGAUAACGUAGGGAAACUUACGCUAAUACCGCAUACGACCUACGGGUGAAAGCGGGGGAUCUUCGGACCUUGCGCAAUUGAAUGAGCCGAUGUCGGAUUAGCUAGUUGGCGGGGUAAAGGCCCACCAAGGCGACGAUCCGUAGCUGGUCUGAGAGGAUGAUCAGCCACACUGGAACUGAGACACGGUCCAGACUCCUACGGGAGGCAGCAGUGGGGAAUAUUGGACAAUGGGCGCAAGCCUGAUCCAGCCAUACCGCGUGGGUGAAGAAGGCCUUCGGGUUGUAAAGCCCUUUUGUUGGGAAAGAAAAGCAGCAGGUUAAUACCCCGCUGUUCUGACGGUACCCAAAGAAUAAGCACCGGCUAACUUCGUG
rnacentral:rRNA from 1 species